rnacentral:lncRNA from 1 species
CAUAGAGCAAAAAAGUGAGAUUAACUCCUUCAUAUGGAUAAAAAUAAAAUCUUAUAAAUUUUUUUCGAGAAUAAUCAACAACCUAAAAAGUCAAAGAAAAAUACUUUAGAAUCACAUCCCAUUCUAUUAAGUAGAAUUUAUUUCCUAUGAUUCCAAUCCAUAUCUCUUUAAUUGGUAACAUUUACUUCCCAUGAAUACCAUCCAUAUCUAUCCAAUAAUAUUUACUU